GUAGUCCACGCCGUAAACGAUGUCAACUAGCCGGUGGGAGCCUUGAGGUCUGACUGGCGCAGCUAACGCAUUAAGUUGACCGCCUGGGGAGUACGGCCGCAAGGUUAAAACUCAAAUGAAUUGACGGGGGCCCGCACAAGCGGUGGAGCAUGUGGUUUAAUUCGAUGCAACGCGAAGAACCUUACCUGGCCUUGACAUCCAAUGAAUUUUCCAGAGAUGGAUUGGUGCCUUCGGGAGCAUUGAGACAGGUGCUGCAUGGCUGUCGUCAGCUCGUGUCGUGAAAUGUUGGGUUAAGUCCCGUAACGAGCGCAACCCUUGUCCUUAGUUACCAGCACGUAAUGGUGGGCACUCUAAUGAGACUGCCGGGGACAAACCGGAGGAAGGGGGGGAUGACGUCAGGUCUUCAUGGCCCUUAUGGGUAGGGUUACCCACGUCAUACAAUGGCCGGAACAAAGGGCUGCCAACCCGCGAGGGGGAGCCAAUCCCAAAAAACCGGUCGUAGUCCGGAUUGAAUUCUGCAACUCAACUGCAUGAAGUCGGAAUCGCUAGAAAUCGCGGAUCAGCUUGCCGCGGUGAAUA
rnacentral:rRNA from 1 species